rnacentral:rRNA from 1 species
AUUGAACGCUGGCGGCAGGCCUAACACAUGCAAGUCGAGCGGCAGCGGAAAGUAGCUUGCUACUUUGCCGGCGAGCGGCGGACGGGUGAGUAAUGUCUGGGAAACUGCCUGAUGGAGGGGGAUAACUACUGGAAACGGUAGCUAAUACCGCAUGACCUCGAAAGAGCAAAGUGGGGGAUCUUCGGACCUCACGCCAUCGGAUGUGCCCAGAUGGGAUUAGCUAGUAGGUGAGGUAAUGGCUCACCUAGGCGACGAUCCCUAGCUGGUCUGAGAGGAUGACCAGCCACACUGGAACUGAGACACGGCCCAGACUCCUACGGGAGGCAGCAGUAGGGAAUCUUCCGCAAUGGACGAAAGUCUGACGGAGCAACGCCGCGUGAGUGAAGAAGGUUUUCGGAUCGUAAAACUCUGUUGUUAAAGAAGAGCAAGGAUGAGAGUAACUGCUCAUCCCCUGACGGUAUUUAACCAGAAAGCCACGGCUAACUACGUGCCAGCAGCCGCGGUAAUACGUAGGUGGCAAGCGUUGUCCGGAUUUAUUGGGCGUAAAGCGAGCGCAGGCGGUUCUUUAAGUCUGAUGUGAAAGCCCCCGGCUCAACCGGGGAGGGUCAUUGGAAACUGGAGAACUUGAGUGCAGAAGAGGAGAGUGGAAUUCCACAUGUAGCGGUGAAAUGCGUAGAUAUGUGGAGGAAUACCGGUGGCGAAGGCGGCCCCCUGGACGAAGACUGACGCUCAGGUGCGAAAGCGUGGGGAGCAAACAGG